ACGCUCGACACCUACGGGAGGCAGCAGGUGGGGAAUAUUGCACAAUGGGGGAAACCCUGAUGCAGCGACGCCGCGUGGAGGAAGAAGGUCUUCGGAUUGUAAACUCCUGUUGUUGGGGAAAAAGAGGAUGGUACCCAACAAGGAAGUGACGGCUAACUACGUGCUAGCAGCCGCGGUAAUCUGAGCGGGCUGGCAAGGC
rnacentral:rRNA from 1 species